rnacentral:rRNA from 1 species
CACGUAGGGCGCGAGCGUUGUCCGGAAUUAUUGGGCGUAAAGAGCUCGUAGGCGGCCUGUUGCGUCCGCUGUGAAAGCCCGGGGCUUAACCCCGGGUCUGCAGUGGGAUACGGGCAGGCUAGAGGUAGGUAGGGGAGAAUGGAAUUCCCGGUGUAGCGGUGAAAUGCGCAGAUAUCGGGAGGAACACCGGUGGCGAAGGCGGGUCUCUGGGCCGAUACUGGACGCUGAGGAGCGAAAGCGUGGGGAGCGAACAGGA